AUGAGCGCUCGAGUCUGUCCUGCGCUGGAGCCGGUGGAGCUCAGCAGCUGUCCGGUGCUGGUGUCAGCAGAUGGCGCUCUGACAGCUGGAGGAAACACCAGCGCCACAGAAAGCCAAACGAAAAACAAGAAGUGUGGCAUCUGUGCUUUCUUCAAGAGAACAUGGCAGGCUGUAAAAUCUGUGGACUGCUGUUGUCGCAGAGGCAACAGAGUGACACUUUUUCAGCCAAACACCGAUCCAGCAGACCCCCUGAGCCCCCUUGAGUCGACGGCUCUCCGGGAUCCAGCUGAUCCUGAGCCAGCUGAAGGAGCAAAUCAGCAGGCUUCUCCUUCAGCAGCAGCUGGUAUGGAGGACAGCCCGACAGGUCUGUGACAGUAUUACAGAGACCCAGUGAGAUCCACAUAUAAAUGUAGAGGGAUAUAUUGAAUGACAGGAAUACAUGCAGCCCUAUCUGUGCACGUCUUCACAGCACCUCAGACCGAGAAGUUACAUCAGCUCAGUUAAUAGUACGAGUAGUAUUCUAGAUUGAAGCACAGGACCGAUAAUCUUCACAGAAUCUUUAACAACUGUAACAAAUCCCAUAACAGAAGAUAAAGCUGUGUGAACGUACAUAAACUGAAGAAAUACACAGGGCCGCUUUUUUCAUAAUCCACAAAUGCGCAAAAUAUUGAAUCGUCUGUAUCAGUCUGCUUCAUUGAGAUCUCUGUUUGAAGUUCAAAGAAACAUAUAAUUUAGUUUAAAUAUAUAUUCCCAUUGCAAAGGACUGGCUUUUUAAAUGAAAGACAAUACAAUACAUCUUUAUUAUCAACCAUGGCUGAUACACCAGUGAUACAGAAUACAAACACGCACUGCACAAAACAC
ensembl:lncRNA